UUCGGGAAGCCUCCAUCCAAAUCAAGGUUCACUGUUAACUGACCUCAAAGUUGGUGAUCAAGAUCAAGAACAAGAACAGUGACAAAAGGGUUCUUGACAGACCUUUUUAGAGUUAGAGUUUAUAUUCACAGUUGUGAUUUGCUGUCAGUGAAUUUUAAGUUCAAAUAUUAGAAAUUUAGAGUAUCUAUCUUAUUUAUUUUGAUUGUGAGUAUCUGUGAUGUGGCUGGAUAUUAGAAUAUUAGGAUUUUCUGUGCAUAUUAUGUAGGAUUUGGUUGGAGUGGAUUUGAUGUGCUGUUGUACCCUGGUUUGUCCUGAUGGGAAUCAAAUCUGCUUCAGAUUCCACAAGCCAAACGAAAAUUACAGUAUUUUGAUUGUUAUAUUGUGUCAAUGAAAAACUUUUCAGUAAAGUCAAUACAUGAAUAUAGGUGUUAUAUUGUGUGAACUACAUUUUGAUUGUUAUCAACUAAGAUCUCUAUCAUUAACUCAUCCUUUUACCAUACCAUACUUAGUUCUGUUGAAACUAAGCUAAAAGGUAGAUACUCGGGUAAUAUCUAAGCUAAAAGGUAGGCAUAGUAUCUGAUUGCUUUACAAAGUUUUUUCUUCCAUUAGUGAUGCCAUGUUUGGUUUUCUUAUGUAUAAAAUUCUGAUGGACGUCUAAUCUCUGUACAUCACAGGCUAUUUCAUGUGGGACAAAUAAAGAAGGGGAUUCAUACUUGGUAGAAUGGAAUGAAAGCGAAGGAGCUGUAAAGCGUACCUAUCAUGGUCUUGGGAAGUGGACUGUUGGGGUUGUGCAGUUUGAUACCGCCAAGAAUUGAUUCUUGGCUACUGGCAACGAGUUCAUGGUUAAAUUCUGGGACAUGGACAAUGUUAACCUUUUGACAAGUACAGAUGCAGAUGGUGGACUGCUGGCUUCUCCUCCUAUUAGAUUUAACAAAGAAGAAAUAUUGUUAGCUGUCUCAACAAAUGACAAUGGUAUUAAAAUUCUAGCAAAUUCAGAUGGAAUUAGGUUACUGAGAACAGUGGAUGCUUCUAGAGCUGCUUAUGUGGCUGUUGUGAAGGUCUCAGCAGUAGGAACAUUUGGAUUAUCUAACAUUACUGUUGGAACAGGCAUUGGAGAUCGAGCAGCUCCAAUGCCAGGCAUGGUUGGACUGGUGAGUGUCCAUGAUUAUCUCUCAUGGGUGACUCAAAUCCCAGAAGAAAUCCAUAUAAAUCAAUGCUAACGUAGCUACACAUGUUGCUGUCAUGAAUUUGUUAUGUGAUGAACCAGUAUUUGCAGGAAAUAUAAGGAAAAAGAGCAACGACAGCAGAAGAAACACAUGCAUUAUGGAAAAGGAAACCACUAUAUUGAAGGCUGAAGAGCUCAAUAAGAAGCAUCAACAAGUUGAUCAUAUUUAAUUGAUACAUUAGAUCCCUGGCAGCAGACAAGUUCUUGAACUUUUGAAAGCUACUUCAGACCCAUCUGCCAACGUUCUCGACAUCGUGCUUUACUUUUCAAGAUAUUAAGUUUAUAGGCGUAACGGAGAGAUUAGGGGUAUUUCAGCAGAGAUAAAAUCGCACCACCAGCGGGAAGAGGAGGACAAAGUACUAGAUGAAGAAAUUGAAGAGGAUGAGAUGUUCUGGAAUCAAGAAGCUCUUAAAGAGGAGGAAGAAGAUGAUAACUAUGAAGUGGAGCUGAAGUUGCUGAUGUGUUCUCAAAUUGUUUACUUUAAUUUCAAGUUUUCUAGCAUUUUAGAGGAAAUGUGUGAGUUUAAAUUACCUCUAUUUGUUUGUGCAAUUAAUUGGGAACUAAGCUGUGAUUAUUUUGAGUUGACGUCGACAGAUCUUUGUAUUUCCUUUGAUUAUGUAUUUUACAAACUUAAUAAUUAAUACCUGAAGUCACCAACUGGUGUUUAAGAAAUGAUGCUGAUUUUGGGGUUUUACUAAUUUUGAAUCAAUUUGGCACCUUACAAAUGUUCCUAAGCUGGAUUGAGCAAUGCUGUGAUUUGGUGUUGAAGCAUCUUUCAGUCAUGCAGAAACAAAGAUGCUGAUGAAAAAAGUUGAUCCAUUGAUGAGAGCCAUGGAGCGGAGUCUAUGAAAAUAAAGAGAAAAGCCGUAGCUAAAGAUAAAGAAGCUGCAGCAGCCAAGGUGAAUGCUAACAAAAAGAACAGAAUUAUAAACUCAUCUAAGAGGUUGUAAUUAGUUUUCAACAGCCUCAAUACCAUUCUUUCCUUUUGUUUUCAGUUCAAUUUCAACAGUGCUUUGAACCAAGCCUGCAUUAUAUAUUAGUAACCUUCAGUGAUUUUUUUAGAAUAGCGAGCUUUGUCUUUCUUUAUUUCUCACUUCCAUACAAAAUGAGGUCACUUUCAGAUUUUCAAUUACGUUUUUCAUGGUUGUGAUUUGUUAGCAACAAAUUCCGCGGCAAAGCGCUUUGUCUUUCUUUAUCUCACUUCUAUCAAGAAUGAAGUCACUUUCAGAUUUUCAAUUAUGUUUUUCAUGAUUGUGAUUUGUUAACAACAACAAAUUCCGCGGCAAGGCGCGGGUGCUGUU